GGCGCUUUUCCCCCAUGUUCAUCGCAUUCGUAAUGCGGGGGUCACAGGUUCGAGUCCUGUAAGCGGCACCA
rnacentral:tRNA from 1 species